UGGCUCAGGAUGAACGCUGACAGAAUGCUUAACACAUGCAAGUCUACUUGAUCCUUCGGGUGAUGGUGGCGGACGGGUGAGUAACGCGUAAAGAACUUGCCCUGCAGUCUGGGACAACAUUUGGAAACGAAUGCUAAUACCGGAUAUUAUGUGAGUUUCGCAUGAAAUUCAUAUGAAAGCUAUAUGCGCUGCAGGAGAGCUUUGCGUCCUAUUAGCUAGUUGGUGAGGUAACGGCUCACCAAGGCGAUGAUAGGUAGCCGGCCUGAGAGGGUGAACGGCCACAAGGGGACUGAGACACGGCCUUUACUCCUACGGGAGGCAGCAGUGGGGAAUAUUGGACAAUGGACCAAAAGUCUGAUCCAGCAAUUCUGUGUGCACGAUGAAGUUUUUCGGAUUGUAAACUCCUGUCGUUAGGGACGAUAAUGACGGUACCUAACAAGAAAGCACCGGCUAACUACGUGCCAGCAGCCGCGGUAAAACGUAGGGUGCAAGCGUUGUCCGGAAUUACUGGGUGUAAAGGGAGCGCAGGCGGACCGGCAAGUUGGAAGUGAAAUCUAUGGGCUCAACCCAUAAAUUGCUUUCAAAACUGCUGGCCUUGAGUAGUGCAGAGGUAGGUGGAAUUCCCGGUGUAGCGGUGGAAUGCGUAGAUAUCGGGAGGAACACCAGUGGCGAAGGCGACCUACUGGGCACCAACUGACGCUGAGGCUCGAAAGCAUGGGUAGCAAACAGGAUUAGAUACCCUGGUAGUCCAUGCCGUAAACGAUGAUUACUAGGUGUUGGAGGAUUGACCCCUUCAGUGCCGCAGUUAACACAAUAAGUAAUCCACCUGGGGAGUACGACCGCAAGGUUGAAACUCAAAGGAAUUGACGGGGGCCCGCACAAGCAGUGGAGUAUGUGGUUUAAUUCGAAGCAACGCGAAGAACCUUACCAGGUCUUGACAUCCGAUGCAUAGCAUAGAGAUAUGUGAAGUCCUUCGGGACAUCGAGACAGGUGGUGCAUGGUUGUCGUCAGCUCGUGUCGUGAGAUGUUGGGUUAAGUCCCGCAACGAGCGCAACCCUUAUUGCCAGUUACUACGCAAGAGGACUCUGGCGAGACUGCCGUUGACAAAACGGAGGAAGGUGGGGAUGACGUCAAAUCAUCAUGCCCUUUAUGACCUGGGCUACACACGUACUACAAUGGCGUUUAACAAAGAGAAGCAAGACCGCGAGGUGGAGCAAAACUCAAAAACAACGUCUCAGUUCAGAUUGCAGGCUGCAACUCGCCUGCAUGAAGUCGGAAUUGCUAGUAAUCGCGGAUCAGCAUGCCGCGGUGAAUACGUUCCCGGGCCUUGUACUCACCGCCCGUA
rnacentral:rRNA from 1 species